ACGUAUGUACAGAAAAAUCCCAGUCAUUGCUAACUCACCCAGCAGUUUGACACCCUCUUGUGAUAGCCCACAUGAGUGCAACUUCAGUACUUUCAGAUUUGAGGUACUUCGUAAUCCCUGAGCAAUACUGUUCAGACUGGCACCGAUAUUUCUGUUAAGGGAAAGGUCAAGGACUUCGAGAUUUUGCAUCAUGGGUAGCAACUGACCUAGAGGGAAGUGAAUCCAAAUGAGAAGAGCAACUCAAUAAAAAUGCAGGGUGUGACUGUUGGGGCAGGAGGGGGAGGGCGGCCUCAUGUGAUCCCAGGGGUAUAAUGAGCCCUUCUUCCAACUUAGGGAGAGAUAAAGCACAGCCAACUUUGACCCUUUGACCCUCAGACUGUCUGCUCAUGGGCAUCUUCACAUUUGUUUUCUGGGAAGGACCCUUCCAAAUUCCACUUACCCACAAAUGCCCCAUCUUCAGAUGUGAGGUCACAAUCCACAAGCUCAAGCGUUUGUAUCUUGCUCCCUUCUUGGAAAUUCUGGAGGGUCAGAGGCAAGUUCCCCCCCACUUCACUGUUCCAGGACAAGUUCAGCUCCUGCAGCCCAGGUGCCAUUGUGUGUGCCAUCGCCAGUCAGCUGGGGUGGCUUUCUAUACCUGGAAGCCCUCCUCAGCAUCAGGGACAGAGAGUGCAGGACUGAUCAGCCAUGUCUGCUGUGUACAUGGUACGGGGGAGCCAUCAUCGAUCAUCCUACACUCAGCAAUUGUAACAGGUAUGAUAACAUUGGCGUGCCCCCUGAUUUAUGGUCUCUUUUCAUUAAACCGUUUAUUCUCCCUGUACCACAUCUGCCCUCAAUACUAA
rnacentral:lncRNA from 1 species